CCCUGUAUCGAAAGUGACCGUGGUGUCCGGUUGCCAGGUCAUCGAUACUACAGGAAAAGAAACUUUGAAAGUCUUUCCCGUGUUCGCAGGACUGCUGCGUUCCUGUCGAACCCUGUAUCUUUCACACA